AAACCUCCCGCCCACCUUUUCUUUAGACCCGCGUCUCACCCCGGGCCGGAAGGGCUCCUGCGCAGGCGUUUGUAGCCACUUUUAAGUUUUAUCAGCUAGUUCAUGCUUGCGUUGAAAGAGUGGUCGUUUGCGCUGGGUCAUCACUGUGUAGUAUUGGGGAUACUUAGGUGAGAAAAAAACUUAACGCUAGAGACGUUCACGCACUAGUGGAGAAGCCAGGAUUGUUGCCCUAGAGUUACAGUAGAUAAAAGUACCUCAGAGAACUGCGGGGGCUCCCAACCUGGACGCUUGCACCGGAGUAUUAAAUCCAGCUAGAGAAUGGCAUGUGCAAAGAUACAGAGCUACAGUCAAAUGGGCAGCUGAAGAUGAUGAUGAUGAUGAUCUUGACACCGAGAAGCAGAAGACCAAUGAAGAUGACCAGACAGCAAAAAAGGAUAAGUUAAAAGAAGGUAAAAGAAGGCCACUCGUACUUGCUGUCUCAGUAUCUAAAGGUGGUCACCUUCCAGUAGAGAGGCCCACCCACUGCAGACCGUGCCACCGAAGGUGACAUGCACUUUCUGCCACCCAUCCAAAACCGUAACGUGAAUCUGCAACAGGAGAGGAAAGAAGAACCAAAACUUCCAAGGCCUUGCAUUUUUUCUUAAAAGCAUUUUUUUUUUUUUUUGGAGAUGGAGUCUCACUCUAUUGCCUGGAGUGCAGUGGCGUAAUUUCGGCUCACUGAAGCCUCUGCUUCCCGGGUUUAAGAAAUUCUCUGCCUCAGCCUCCCAAGUAGCUGGGAUUACAGGCACAUGCCACCACACCUGUCUAAUUUUUGUAUUUUUAGGAGAGACAGGGUUUCACCGUGUUGGCCAGGCUGGUCUUGAACUCCUGACCUCGUGAUCCACCUGCCUUGGCCUCCCAAAGUGCUGGGAUUACAGGCCUGAGCCACUGCACCUAGCCAAAAGCAUUUUUUAAAGAAAAAUUGGUCUAUAUUUUUUGUUUCUACUUUAUAUCUUUGUACAUAUUUUUAGAGUGCAGGCAUUUUUAAUAAUCUUGGAUGACCAAAGCAGCUUUCAGAAUGUUCUUUGCCCAACUUCUGACUUUACUUGUAGUGUGACCAUGUUCAUUAGAAUCUCAAAGGAGGAAGAAAAGAAAAAACAAACUUGUAAAAAAUGAAAAAUAGAUCUGGCGAGGUGAUUCACGGCUGUAAGCCCAGCACUUUGAGAGGCUAAGGCGGGUGGAUCACCUGAGGUCAGGAGUUCGAGACCAGCCUGGCCAACAUGGUGAAAUCCUAUCUCUACUAAAUAUACAAAAAUUAGCCAGGUGUGGUGGUGGGUGCCUGUAGUCCCAGCUACUCAGGAGGCUGAGGCAGGAGAAUCUGGAACCCCGGAGGCAGAGGUUGCAGUGAGCCGAGAUCGCACCAUUGCACUCCAGCCUGGGCGACAGAGUGAGACUAUCUGAAAAAAAGCAAAAAUAGGCCAGGCAUGGUGGCUCAUGCCUUGAUCCCAGCACUUUGGUAAGCCUAGGCAGGUGGAUCACUUGAGGUCAGGGGUUCGAGACCAGCUUAGCCAACAUGGUGAAAACCUGUCUCUACUGAAAAUACAAAAAUUAGCCAGGCGUGGUGGUGGGUACCUGUAAUCCCAGCUACGCGGGAGGCUGAGGCAUGAGAAUUGCUUGAACUCAGGAGGCGGAGGUUGCAGUGAGCAGCAGUCAUGCCAUUGCACUCCAGCCUGGUGACAGAGUAAGACUCUGUCUCAAAAAUAAAUAAAUGCAAAAACAACAAAUCUUAUUUUUUCAGCCUGUUCGAUGUAUGUGUGAAACAAUGUUGUCCAACAAUAAACGGGAAUCUUAUUUUUCUGAGGUUUUUUCCCCUA
rnacentral:lncRNA from 10 species